rnacentral:rRNA from 1 species
AACGCGAAGAACCUUACCCAGGCUAGAAGUAUAGUGGACAUCCCUUGAAAGAGGGCUUCCCGAAAGGGUCAUUAUAUAGGUGCUGCAUGGCUGUCGUCAGCUCGUGCCGUGAGGUGUUGGGUUAAGUCCCGCAACGAGCGCAACCCUUGUCAUUAGUUGCCAACACUUCGGGUGGGAACUCUAAUGAGACUGCCUAGGUUAACUAGGAGGAAGGUGAGGAUGAUGUCAAGUCCGCAUGGCCUUUAUGUCUGGGGCCACACACGUGCUACAAUGGCUGGUACAGAAGGCAGCAAGAUCGUGAGAUGGAGCAAAUCCCUAAAGCCAGUCCCAGUUCGGAUUGUAGUCUGCAACUCGACUACAUGAAGUUGGAAUUGCUAGUAAUGACGUGUCAGCUACAACGUCGUGAAUACGUUCCCGGGCCUUGUACACACCGACU